rnacentral:rRNA from 1 species
GAUGAGCGCUAGCGGCAGGCCUAACACAUGCAUGUCGAGGGGUAACUAGAGUGAUAGCAAUAUUACUUUGGCUAGACCGGCGCACGGGUGCGUAACACGUAUGCAACCUACCUUAUACUGGGGAAUAACUUCGAGAAAUCGGCGCUAAUACCCCAUGACAUUGCGAAGAGGCAUCGCUUUGCAAUUAAAGCUCCGGCGGUAUAAGAUGGGCAUGCGUCCAAUUAGCUAGUUGGUGAGGUAACGGCUCACCAAGGCUACGAUUGGUAGGGGUUCUGAGAGGAUGAUCCCCCACACUGGUACUGAGACACGGACCAGACUCCUACGGGAGGCAGCAGUGAGGAAUAUUGCGCAAUGGACGAAAGUCUGACGCAGCCAUGCCGCGUGCAGGAUGACGGCCCUAUGGGUUGUAAACUGCUUUUGUACGGGAAUAAACCCUUCUACGUGUAGGAGGCUGAAGGUACCGUAAGAAUAAGCACCGGCUAACUCCGUGCCAGCCGCCGCCGUAA